CCUACGGGAGGCAGCAGUGGGGAAUAUUGCACAAUGGGGGAAACCCUGAUGCAGCGACGCCGCGUGAGUGAAGAAGUAAUUCGGUAUGUAAAGCUCUAUCAGCAGGGAAGAAAAUGACGGUACCUGACUAAGAAGCCCCGGCUAACUACGUGCCAGCAGCCGCGGUAAUACGUAGGGGGCAAGCGUUAUCCGGAUUUACUGGGUGUAAAGGGAGCGUAGACGGCAUUGCAAGUCUGCAGUGAAAGGCGGGGGCUCAACCCCCGGACUGCAGUGGAAACUGUAGGGCUGGAGUGUCGGAGAGGAAAGUGGAAUUCCUAGUGUAGCGGUGAAAUGCGUAGAUAUUAGGAGGAACGCCAGUGGCGAAGGCGGCUUACUGGACGGUAACUGACGUUGAGGCUCGAAAGCGUGGGGAGCAAACAGGAUUAGAUACCCGAGUAGUC
rnacentral:rRNA from 1 species